CAGCCGCCGCGGUAAUACCGGCGGCCCGAGUGGCGGUCACUAUUAUUGGGCUUAAAGCGUCCGUAGCCGGGUUGGGAAGUCCUCCGGGAAAUCUGGCCGCUUAACGGUCAGAAUGCCGGAGGAUACUCCCAGCCUAGGGAGCGGGAGAGGCCGAGGGGAUUCCCGGAGUAGGGGGGAAAUCCUAUAAUCCCGGGAGGACCACCUGUGGCGAAGGCGCUCGGCUGGAACGCGUCCGACGGUGAGGGACGAAGGCCAGGGGAGCAAACCGGAUUAGAUGCCCGGGUAGUCCUGGCGGUAAACGAUGCGGACUAGGUGUCGGGCAAGCUAAGGGCUUGUCCGGUGCCGCAGGGAAGCCGUUAAGUCCGCCGCCUGGGGAGUACGGCCGCAAGGCUGAAACUUAAAGGAAUUGGCGGG
rnacentral:rRNA from 1 species